GACGAACGCUGGCGGCGUGCUUAACACAUGCAAGUCGAACGGAAAGGCCCUGCUUUUGUGGGGUGCUCGAGUGGCGAACGGGUGAGUAACACGUGAGUAACCUGCCCUUGACUUUGGGAUAACUUCAGGAAACUGGGGCUAAUACCGGAUAGGAGCUCCUGCUGCAUGGUGGGGGUUGGAAAGUUUCGGCGGUUGGGGAUGGACUCGCGGCUUAUCAGCUUGUUGGUGGGGUAGUGGCUUACCAAGGCUUUGACGGGUAGCCGGCCUGAGAGGGUGACCGGCCACAUUGGGACUGAGAUACGGCCCAGACUCCUACGGGAGGCAGCAGUGGGGAAUAUUGCACAAUGGGCGGAAGCCUGAUGCAGCAACGCCGCGUGCGGGAUGACGGCCUUCGGGUUGUAAACCGCUUUCGCCUGUGACGAAGCGUGAGUGACGGUAAUGGGUAAAGAAGCACCGGCUAACUACGUGCCAGCAGCCGCGGUGAUACGUAGGGUGCGAGCGUUGUCCGGAUUUAUUGGGCGUAAAGGGCUCGUAGGUGGUUGAUCGCGUCGGAAGUGUAAUCUUGGGGCUUAACCCUGAGCGUGCUUUCGAUACGGGUUGACUUGAGGAAGGUAGGGGAGAAUGGAAUUCCUGGUGGGGCGGUGGAAUGCGCAGAUAUCAGGAGGAACACCAGUGGCGAAGGCGGUUCUCUGGGCCUUUCCUGACGCUGAGGAGCGAAAGCGUGGGGAGCGAACAGGCUUAGAUACCCUGGUAGUCCACGCUGUAAACGGUGGGUACUAGGUGUGGGGUCCAUUCCACGGGUUCCGUGCCGUAGCUAACGCUUUAAGUACCCCGCCUGGGGAGUACGGCCGCAAGGCUAAAACUCAAAGGAAUUGACGGGGCCCCGCACAAGCGGCGGAGCAUGCGGAUUAAUUCGAUGCAACGCGUAGAACCUUACCUGGGUUUGACAUGGAUCGGGAGUGCUCAGAGAUGGGUGUGCCUCUUUUGGGGUCGGUUCACAGGUGGUGCAUGGCUGUCGUCAGCUCGUGUCGUGAGAUGUUGGGUUAAGUCCCGCAACGAGCGCAACCCUUGUUCACUGUUGCCAGCACGUUAUGGUGGGGACUCAGUGGAGACCGCCGGGGUCAACUCGGAGGAAGGUGGGGAUGACGUCAAGUCAUCAUGCCCCUUAUGUCCAGGGCUUCACGCAUGCUACAAUGGCUGGUACAGAGAGUGGCGAGCCUGUGAGGGUGAGCGAAUCUCGGAAAGCCGGUCUCAGUUCGGAUUGGGGUCUGCAACUCGACCUCAUGAAGUCGGAGUCGCUAGUAAUCGCAGAUCAGCAACGCUGCGGUGAAUACGUUCCCGGG
rnacentral:rRNA from 1 species